rnacentral:tRNA from 1 species
CCAUAGCGCAACUGGAUAGAGCGUUCGGCUUCGAACCGAAAGGUUGCGGGUUCAAGUCCUGCUGGAUG